rnacentral:misc_RNA from 1 species
AGGGAGCUGUUAUGUAAUGGUAGGAACGUUUGUUUACAGUCACCAGCUGAUGCUGACGUCAGUAGCGGCUCCUGCUGGUGAGGUGGAGGCCCGGUGCUGCUGCUCCUCGCCUACUACUGACCUUCUCCUGCUGAUCUGCCGCUGGUAACUCUCCUGCUGGUAACUCUCACCUAUUACAUGUAAUACCAUGCUAUCACCGGCAAGAAAGAAAUGUGAUUCAUCUAAGAAAUAUGAGUAAAUCGGAAGCUUUCAACAAGCUGCCGGCUUCCUGUCCCCCAUCGAGGUCAAUAGAGAUUAUGGCCCAAAGGUAGUAAGAAGUACAACAAAGAAGAAUAGAUUUCAGUGAAUUUUCCAGGAAGAGUAGUUCAUAUCAAUAUAAAAGUAUAUGAUAACAGCUGAGAAGAACGAGCUACAAAGAUGGAGACAAUGUUGCAUUUUGGUAUUGUUGACUAUGUGAUCUUUGCCACAGUCUUGGCAGUGUCUUCAGGCAUUGGAAUUUACUUCAGGUUCACUGGAGGAAAGCAAAAGACUUUCAAGGAGUAUAUGCUGGCAGACAAAGCUAUGCCAGUCAUUCCAGUGGCAUUUUCUCUUAUGGCAUCAUUUAUGUCUGCAAUUACCAUCUUGGGUGUGUCGAAGGAGAACUACAUGUUUGGAACGCAGUUUGUUGUUAUCAACAUAUCCUACAUCAUCUCGACACCUAUUGUGUGUUACCUCUACUUGCCUGUGUUCUUCAGACUCCAAAAUACCAGUGUCUACGAGUACCUGGAGAGGAGGUAUGGGAUGAUGACUCGGCUGUGUGCUUCAUUAGCAUUUUCUCUCCAGAUGACGCUCUAUAUGGGCAUAGUGUUGUAUGCCCCAGCACUUGCUCUCUCAGCUGUUACAGGAAUUUCCCUUACGUGGUCAAUCAUCACUGUUGGGUUGGUAUGCACUUUCUACUCUACGCUCGGGGGGAUGAAGGCCGUCCUAAUAACUGAUGUCUUCCAGUCUUUGCUUAUGUUUGCUGCAGUAUUCUCUGUGAUAACACGAGGGGUGAUGGACUUUGGUGUUGGGAACAUUUUCAAGAUUGCAAAUGAAGGCAACAGAUUAGAGUUUUUCAACAUAUCUCCUGAUCCACGCCAGAGACACACCAUAUGGAGCUUGGGUAUCGGUGGGUGCUUCACAUACUGCUCUCUCUAUGGGGUCAACCAAGCUCAGGUCCAGAGACUUCUCACUGUUAAAAACCUUCAUCAAGCUCGAGCUUCACUGUGGAUCCAAUGGCCAAUCCUGACUCUUCUAAGUCUCUCUACAUCAUUUGCUGGGCUGGUUCUUUAUGCUCAGUAUCACACCUGUGACCCGAUAAAGAAUGGUCGUAUUGCCGACUCUGACCAGUUGUUGCCGCUGUAUGUGGUGGAGACCAUGGGAAUGGUGCCGGGCCUCUCGGGACUCUUUGUCUCGGGAAUCUUUAGUGGUUCUUUGUCAACAGUGUCGUCCGCUUUAAACUCCCUGGCUGCCGUUACAGUCCAAGACUAUAUAUUGCCAUUUCUUCCUAGCCGCUUUGGAAUAAGGGAAAAACAAGCAACAAAGAUGUGCAAAGUUAUAGCGUGUGUGUAUGGUGUGGUGUGCAUGGCUAUAGCCUUCCUCACUCAGCUGGUGGGAACAGGAGUCCUGCAGGCAUCACUCACAAUCUUUGGUGCCGUCGGGGGACCUCUGCUCUCCCUUUUCACAAUGGGCAUGCUCUUCAAGGGUUCUAAUGAAAAGGGUGCCAUGACUGGACUUAUCACAGGGCUAAUUAUUACAUUAUGGAUUGGUUUUGGACGUCCAAAACCAAUACCUCCAUUUAAACCUGUUUCAACUGCGGGAUGCCCAACACUGAACACUACUUUGGUUUUGCUUGCACACCUCCCAGAAGCAACUUUGAAAAGUGUUGACAACUUGACUUUUAUAGAGAGUAUAGGAAAUAUAUCAGUGCCCAAUACAUUGGACUUGGAUGUAGUAAUACCACCUAUGGACAGAGUAGAAUCAACAUCAUUGUCACCCGCCCACAUAACUCCUGUUGCUCCAGAUACACAAAGGACUGCGUUCUUGCAGGAGUUGUACGCUGUAUCGUACAUGUGGAUAGCGGCAAUUGGGUUCUUUGUAACUCUAGUGGUGGGUAUGGUUGUCAGUCGAGCCACGGGAGGAAAUGACAUUCUGGACCAAGACUUGUAUGCUUCUUGGGUUCUUCCACAUAGAAAAAAUAUGGCAGCUGAAAACUUAUGUUCUGAAAAGACUGACCUUGCCAACAAUGAAGAUAUUGAACCAGUCUCUUCCUCUGCCAAACUACAUCCUGAUGGUGGGGAGGUGACCCAUUUGUGAUGCGAGUUGAUGUUGAGAGCUCCGGGCAUAUUGUAGAUAAACUUUUAUUUAAAAGAACCGACUACGAAAGGCGCACAAGGUACACCAUUGAUGAACAAGGAAAAGGGAUGGAGC